rnacentral:lncRNA from 1 species
UCGCCUCGAAUCACCCCACUUUUGUUUCCCCAUGUGACUCUUCAGGGACCAGGGAAGCUAACCAUCUCUCAAGGGGAAGCUCCCCAGCACUGAGUUUUUGUCACGAGGCGUAUCUGAACUGAAAAUCUUCCCAAGGACAGCUAGCGUGAAAUGCAGUGAAAUGUCACCGGAUUCUGGAGCCUGCGUCUGCGACCCUCUGUGAGGUGACAUGGAGGUGUCAGCAAACAACCUUUAUAGGUACUCGCUGCCUCAGAAGCACUAGAAGCAAAGGAGCCGAUGAACACAGACAUGCCUCUGAGGCCAUGAGCCAAAAUCCACUAUUCUGCUUCUCAAACUGUUCUCUUCAGUGUUUGUCACACUGACAGACAGCUCACAACCCUCAUGAAGGAGUUUGAGCCACAGGACCCCCGGCCUCAGACUCAGAAACUAUGUGAGGGCUGCCCCCUGCCGCUCGCCGCGCCCUCGACGGAGGCGUCGCGGCCGCCGCUUCCGUGGGAACCGGACCCGGGGCGCGCUAGCACCGGCCGGUUUCCCGUCAGGGGAACUCGCAGCCACUUUUCGAGAAGCCGGUUGGAGCAACUUGGGCCCAGGCAGCCAGAGUUGGCCACAUGUCACUUAAGCCUGGCGACCUCUCUCGGACUUUUUAAAAAAAACAACGGGGAGUGGGGCUUGGGCGAAGCGUGGCGCGGCUCGCACUCCGGAAACCAAAGUACUGGUUGGGGGGGUGUUGGGUUUUUUUUUUUUUUAAAGGGCCACCAACCGCUUGAACUCGGCUUUAGCAGUGGAAACCCGUUUCUCCCCCGGUGUGCACACAAAGGUCGGAGUCAGGAAAGUUUGCUCGCGGCCCUCAUGACUGCGCUUCCUUGACUUUGUGCUUUUAAAAAACCUCGUGGCCUUCUCUGAAGAGGCACGCUGCUCUCUGAAUCCGAGAGGAAGGAAAAAAAAUAGUAAUAAUUCGAAAGACCCCGGAAAAGUUCAGUGAGCCAGCCACGUUUCGACAUUUCCCAGAUUUUGCAAUAUUGAACUGGGUUCCUGCCAACUUACUGCCAAAUUAUAAAUUUCUCAAGAUGAAGGGUGUUCAACCAAAUUGCUGCCAGGCCCCGUAAGCAGGCACGAACAACACCGGCUUAAUUACACCUUAUUCUUUCUCUCGCAGCCUUAUUUAAUGCGCUGCUGGAUGAAGUCCUCAACCCGGGUGUCAGUAACUGGCCUUUUUCUGGGACUGAACAAUCACACACUUUCCAUGCCUCAGUAGUUUCAAGAAUUGUAUAACCCAUCGCCCUCUCUUUCCGUUUUCUAGUCGAUAUUGUCCGAAAAUGCAACCCAGUCAGGUAAAUUCUUUUCUCUCCCGGGGACUGAAAAGACGUAAACAAACAUCACACUUGCAAGAAAGUGUCCUUUUAGGAAAAAAGGUUUAGGCCAAGAAACCGAGUUUGUUGUUUAACGCGAACCCCUGAAGCGGAUUAAGCAUAGUGAAGCUGAAUGCGGUUAAACCAGCUUAAUAAGUCUCUUUGUUCGGGCCCUUCCCAUUUACUUAGUGUGUUUUAAGGUGAUUUGACACAACCUAAACUAAUUUCUUAUAUGUUAGUGUAGUCUACCCGUGAACCAUGCAAUGUCACAAAGUAUAGAAGUCUGUGGGACCCUUGGCAUUUUCUAGAAUUCCAUACUAAACAGCUCUGUGACCAAAAAAUAAAAAGGGACGUUUUGAAGGGACAGGAGAGCUCGUGCUUUCUUUCUUUUCUUCUUCUUUUUUUUUAAAUCUGGAGACUUUAACCUUUUAGCCCACUUUUGUGAAGUCCAGCUAGAAGCCACCUUUGCCUCUUUCGGGCUGAGACAGGGUGUCUUGGAAACCAGCGUCCGACUGUCAGCGUCUGCAUUCUAAGUGCUAACCAGGUUAGACACAUUUGGGCAGUGGCACAGUGAUGUGUUGGAACAUGCCUACUACUUGAUAAAAAGAGGGAGGCUGCCUGGAAAACAGCCUGGAUACACUCAUGGUGGACCAGGGAGGCGUCAGGAAGUGAAAGUGGAAAGAGAGGAGGUGAUGGAAGGUCUCUUGGGAUGCUGGAGAUGAGGCCAAGACUUCGCACAAGCACAGCGAGCACUCUACCACAGACCCAUAGCCCCACCUUUUGGCACUUCUGAAGAGACUCUGGUGGAACCAAGUCAGGCAGAAGCCUUCAAUCACCCAGGAGCCUGGCUCUCUGGCUCCAGCGUUGGCUUCUGAAAUGUCCUGUCUUGCAGCUCUCAGAAAAAUAAGGAGAGGUUUACCUCGUCAGGUAUGUAGCAUUAGCCAGUGCUGUCCGUCAGUGGCUUCCUAAAGGAUCGUAGUUUACAAGUCAGGUUACCAGAAGAAUUGGGAAGAACACAUUCAGAAAGUGUUCAGUGUGGUUGCACUGCUUCCUGAACCAUGGGGAAUUUCCAGACCAAUACUGUGCUCAGGAUUUAGAAGAGCCAGGGUUUCCUGAGUCUCACACGGGUUCCUAGCUUAGAGGCAAGCGUGGCUCUAAACCAUGCUCAGCCACCCUGGGAACCUUCUUGCUGACUUCAGUGGGAAGAGGCACAGAGGACUUGUGUGAGGCUGGGGAAGGUGGCAUUGGUGUCGCAUGGGAAGCCAGACCUCAGGCAGCCUUCCACAGACCCUCAGAGGCUGGCCUUUCCCCUCUGGAGAGUUCAGCCAAAAGCAAGCGGCAGGUUUCCCUCUCCAUUAUGCUGCACAGUCCGCCCCUGCUGCCACUUGGAGUCUGCUCAGUGGCUUGACUUACUUCCUGUUUUCCCACCUCGGGCAGGUUGAGUUCCUCUGCCUGACUUCUUAAACCUUAUAUAAUCUGGCUGCACCAAUCCCUAUUUUGAACUGCUCAUUAGUACAUAUUCAAAUUUGGCAAGACGAGUUGUUCUCAGAACAUGCUGCUCUGUCUCUGCCUCCGAAUCCUUUUCCAUUCCCCUGCUGACUUUCUUAGGUGUGCUCCAUUCCCGUGCUCUGUUUGCCUCCAGUCAAAUCCUGUCUGAACCUCGAGUCCCGCCAGUGUCUUAUUUCUUCCUUUUAGAUUUCCUUAGCACCAAGUUUUUCUUCCUACCUUCCCUUGGGUAACAAUGUACCAAGCUGUUGUUUGUUUUGCUUUGCUUUGUUAUUUUGAUUUUUUUCAAAGCAGGGUUUCUCUGUGUAGCCCUGGUCCUGGAACUCACUCUGUAGACCAAUCUAGUCUGGCCUGGUUAGGGAGUACACCUGUUUCUGCCUCCUGAGUGCUGGGAUUGAAAAUGUGCUAAAAAUUUAUUCCUUUAUUUUUAUUUUUAGAUUUAAGAGCACCGACUGCUCUUCCAAAGGUCCUGAGUUCAAAUCCCAGCAACCACAUGAUGGCUCACAGCCAUCUGUAAUGGGAUCUGAUGCCAUCUUCUGGUGCAUCUGAAGACAGCUACAGUGUACUUAGAUAUAAUAAUAAUAAAUAAAUCUUAAAAAA